rnacentral:rRNA from 2 species
AUUAUUGAAAGGUGCUUGCAUCUUGAUUUAAUUUUGAACGAGUGGCGGACGGGUGAGUAACACGUGGGUAACCUGCCCUUAAGUGGGGGAUAACAUUUGGAAACAGAUGCUAAUACCGCAUAAAUCCAAGAACCGCAUGGUUCUGGGCUAAAAGAGGGCCUAAGCUAUCGCUUUGGGAGGGACCCGCGGCGUAUUAGCUAGUGGGUGAGGUAACGGCUCACCAAGGCAAUGAUAGUGUACCCGAACUGAGAGGUUGAUCGGCCACAUUGGGACUGAGACACGGCCCAAACUCCUACGGGAGGCAGCAGUAGGGAAUCUUCCACAAUGGACGCAAGUCUGAUGGAGCAACGCCGCGUGAGUGAAGAAGGCUUUCGGGUCGUAAAACUCUGUUGUUGGAGAAGAAUGGUCGGCAGAGUAACUG